GGAUUCCCCUUCCAAAAAAAAAUAUCUUUAAGGUCUCUCUCUCAUGGGCUCCCCUUCCAAGCUCUCCUUGCUAAUCCUAACAGUUAUUCUCUUUAGAAGUUUUCAGGCCAAAGCUCUUGAUGGACUUGAGAGGGAUACACAUAGACAGGACGACACUCACAUGGCUGUAGAUUUUGGCCGGAAAUCUGGGCCACGACACCAUUUUCCGGCAAGUCGUGCGGUUUCUCGGCAGCUUCGAGAUGGUGGGUUGACCCCUCGUGCACCCAUCGGCAGGCAACCUACAUCCUACUUCAUUACACCACCACCAAUUUAUAUCUAAAUCAAAUGUUUCUGGUUAUUAGGUAGUUAUCUAUAUUUUGUUUUCCUUUUUUUCAAUAUUCUGGUCACAUGUUCUUGAUCAGUAACUCUUAAAUGUAGAAUUUUAUCUUUUGACAAUGAUGUAGAAUUUUUUCUUUUGUUAAUAAAUGAUGUUCACGUUCACUCAAA